rnacentral:lncRNA from 1 species
GAAUAUACUCAUUAGAGAAAGAAAUCAUAUAUUGGAUAAAGCUGUUGGAUUACAAUGGUUGAUAUUACAAGGGAAACAUCAUCGAAAUGUGAUGCAUAACCUAAAUAUUUUCUUGACAGCGAAACUUACAUAAAAAGCAUCCUUCAACAUCCCUACAACUUAACUAAACUUAACCGGGGAACACCAUCCGACAGAAACAUCAUCCCUACAACUUAACUAAAACUGAUAGCAUCCAUCAUCAUCAUCAUGGACCGGAACAUCAUUAUCAUCAUGAAACGGAACAUCAUCAUCAUUGCAAUAUACUUGCCACGCACCAUUAUAAUCAUCCAUAUAUCUUUUGAAUCUACAAAGAAAAUAACAAAAUGAACUGUUAAUACACAAUGCAUUGACAUGAUGAAUGUAGUGAUAGAGGCAGCAGGAUGUUAGGCACGUACGUACAAAGGUUGAAGGCUAUGCAAUCUUCUUUUUUCUGCAUUAUCGAGAGUAUUGCAGCUUUUGCGACUCCGUACCGAAUCUUCAGUUUUCACAAGUGCCAUAUCGACAUGCACUACCAAGAAUUCAUUUGUAAUUUUAGCAUCAUCAAGUUUAAAUUUAGGAUCACAACUUACAACUAUAGCAAGAGCUACGUCCCUAUUAUGAUUGUGAAAAGAUACCGGCAUGAGUGUUAGUUGUCAUUGAUGACUAAUCACGACGCCACAAUAUAUGACACAGCCUGCAGAAAAACAUGGCUUAAUAAAAUUAUAUGGAGAGUAGCCUAAGUGCUGAUGUGCAUUCAAGGGCAAUUGUGAGUGACAGUACCACUUCUUUUCUCUUCUCCAUUUAGUUAGCAAACUGAACUAAAAAGGUUUUAGUGAUCUGAAACCAAAACAUUUAGCUCUAGUUGGUUUCAGUCAUCCAACAGGAAACAAACAAACCUAAAGGUGCUCACCACGCUUUGGAACAAAACUACAGCCUCAAAUCCACUGAAACGAAUUUACAUAGUUAUCACCAGCCUAGAGAUCCAUUGCUAAUUCUGUACACCUACAGUCAAACUGUUUUGUGUGAACCAACAGAAUUAUUUAUUACUAAAUAAAUUCACUGACCUACAGCCCCAAAUGCUAUAAAUUGGCAUGGACAGCAGCAUAGAACCUAGCACGGCUCAAUGGUCGUGGACACAUUGAGCAGUACCAUGGUAGGGAGAGGGAGAGAGUAUACCUUCCAUGGCAUCGUCCAUGACUUGCUCCACGAACUCGACUUGCUCCAUGGAGUCGCCGUACAUCGAGUUGGUGCGUGUAGCUUCAAAACCAAGGGAAAAAGGUUACAGGUGUCUCAUGCAUCUCUAGAACAGUGCAAAAGAAGUAAACUUCAUCAAGAUCAAUCCGUACAUAAUAAAAGAAGAGCAACCUAUCCUGUUCUAUAUGUACUAGUUACUACCUUGGCAACUUUACAUCUGGC